AGAUGUUCCGUGUGAGAAGGUUGAGGGGAGGCCGAUGUCCCUGCUGGCUGUUGGGUGUGAUGGAAGCGGCCAGGAGUCGUGUGGGCAGCUGUUGGAGGGAGCCGUGGCGGAGCGGUGUAGGUGGCGGCCAAGUCAUGCAUUGAUGGUGGAUGUUCAUUCCCGUUUGGCCAUCCAUGCGAGGUGAUUGUUCUUUGGAGCUUCCCUGUGCGGUGACCCAGUGUGUCCUUGGGUGGAUGCCUUUCUGUUCU